rnacentral:lncRNA from 1 species
CAUUCCACCAUUAAGACUCCUGAUGCUCCUAACAAGAUGACACCAGCUGCGGUGACCGAGAAGGAUGUUGCUGCUGAUGAUAUUAAGGAAAAUGCUUUCAGUUCCACUGUUGAGACUGCUGAUGCUCCUACCAAGAUGAUCCCAGCUGCUGUUACAGAGAAGGAAGUCGCUGCUGAUGAUUCGCCGAAGAGUGAUCUGACAGAAGAGGAGAGUGACCUCAAUGGAGUGGGCAGUGAGGAGGAUGACCUCAGUGAGUACAGCAGCGAGGAGGAUGACCUCAGUGAGUACAGCAGCGAGGAGGAUGACCUCAGUGAGUACAGCAGCGAGGAGGAUUCCCUCGAGGAGGAGGAUAUGCAGAAGGUGAGCGACUCUGCUGUUGUGAACUUUUAUUCUGAUGAAGAGGAGGACCUCGAGGAUGAGGAUAUGCAGAAGGCUAACGACUCCACUGAAGCUAACUUUGAUUCUAAUGAAGAAGAGGAGGAUCUCAAGAUGCCGGAGACAGUUGAAGAGCCUAAAGAAAAUGAGGAGAGUGGAGAGGAAGACGAUUUCAG